UACGUAGGGGGCAAGCGUUGUCCGGAAUCAUUGGGCGGUAAAGCGCGUGUAGGCGGCUCGAUAAGUCUGCUGUGAAAGUCCAGGGCUCAACCCUGGAAUGCCGGUGGAAACUGUCGGGCUAGAGUCCGGAAGGGGCGAGUGGAAUUCCUGGUGUAGCGGUGAAAUGCGCAGAUAUCAGGAGGAACACCAAUGGCGAAGGCAGCUCGCUGGGACGUGACUGACGCUGAGACGCGAAAGCGUGGGGAGCAAACAGG
rnacentral:rRNA from 1 species